UACGUAGGGGGCAAGCGUUGUCCGGAUUUAUUGGGCGUAAAGAGCGUGUAGGCGGUUAGGUAGGUCCGUUGUGAAAACUCGAGGCUCAACCUCGAGAUGUCGGCGGAAACCAUCUGGCUAGAGUCCGGAAGAGGAGAGUGGAAUUCCUGGUGGUAGCGGUGAAAUGCGCAGAUAAUCAGGGAAGAACACCCGUGGCGAAGCGGCUCUCUGGGGAGCGG
rnacentral:rRNA from 1 species